AAAACUAUACUUUCAGAGAUCAUUUCCAUGGUUUCUAACUAGGUGACAUGGUUGGCAAGUGUUGCAUCUCUCUAAUCACGAUGAAGAGUUAUGAUGUACUUUUCUGAGAAUUAAUCAAGUGGUAGUUACUGCUUCAUGUAUGUGCUAUAAUUAUUGAUGAGUGUUCUCUGUUUUUGAAGGACAGCAGAGGAAAAGUGCAUAAUCAGAAUGAU